GGGCUCGUAGUUCAGCCCGGUAGAACGGCCGGCUGCCGGUCGGACGGCCCUGGGUUCGAGUCCCAGCGAGCCCA
rnacentral:tRNA from 1 species